UUUCACGGUUUCAAUAGCUGGAACCAACGAUUUAGACAAAACCUGGCGUUACAUUUUUUUCAAGGGGAUUCUUCUAAAAUAUCAGGGUUUUGUUUGCAACGCCCCCAUUAUGUUUGUUGUACUCCGUGUGUCCUGAUCAAAAGUACAAACGUCAUGAGUCUAUUCGCAUUACAAUUGCGAGGUAAAUCCAUUACAAUUAAACCAGAGGCUUCCAGGCGCGUCCAACGGGAAACAUAAUAAGUUAACAAGCAAACGUUUCUCUGUAAUACAUUAAAGGCUGACAUGCUUGCUCGAAAAGAAAGAGACCGACCAAAAUAAGGUACAAACCAGUGAAUGAUGGGGAAAACCUUAUCACCACUAGACCACACACAGCUAGACACACAAGACCUGUCAGCGUACAGUACAGGUAUUACUUGUAUCUGUCGUCCAACCACUAUAGAUAAGAUAACCACAUCCAUACUUCACAAGACGACUGGCAUUACCCUUGGGAACUCACACGAUUGAUAUAAUGAGGUGAGGAAGGCCUGUGUAUACAGCAUACAGUACAGGUCUUACUUGUAUCUGUCGUCCAACCAUUAUAGAUAAGAUAACCACAUCCAUACCUCACAAGACGACUGGCAUUACCCUUGGGAACUCACGCGAUUGAUAUAAUGAGGUGAGGAAGGCCUGUGUAUACAGCAUACAGUAAAUGUCUUACUAAACCGUCAAACUCUUCCUAGUGCGACCCGGGCCUUACUUGUAUCUGUCGUCCAAGUACUAUAGAUAAGAUAACCACAUCCAUACCUCACAAGACGACUUUUACUACCUCUGGGACCGCACACAAGACUGAUAUGAUGAGUGUUCACCUGAAGAGGAUCAAAUACCAACUGUGGAUUCUCCAAUGGACGUAUCAAACUGGCAUGAUUGGCACACUUUUUUAACUCCAUUACAAUGUUAAGGAAGCUGUUGGCAUUGCCUUUCAAACCCUUGUUCAGAGCCCUGAAGUUUUUCGUCAAGAUCCACCUUGAAAGAUACAAAAACAAGCCUUAAAAAGACCGCACAUUAUCUAGGUAUGUAGUACAUUUAUAAACUUUGCAACCCAGCUAAAUGAGUAAAAAAGUUUAAAUUUUAUCUAACCCUGAAACAACCUCUACAAUGACCCAAGUUAGGGCAUGGCUCACUCGCUGAUUGAAUCAGAAUGAACUCUUCUUAAAAUUGUAUCAAAUGCAAGGUUAACAUGAAAAUACACAAGAAAUGCUACAAAUUCCAUAAAGAAAAAGUUUUGUAUUUCCAUGUUAAACUUGCAUCCACAAUACUUUUGAGGAGGGUCCAUCAAGCAUGUUGGGUUUGACCUACAUGUACCUGUAAUAUUGUUUUUGUAUUGAAGACAUCUCCACUCUUAGGAUCUGUUCAACCUGAAAGAUAAUAUACCAUGAUGAAUUAAUAGUGGGCCAACAACAGAUCUCUGUAGGAAGCCAUAUUUAAAUUGAAUGUUUGUUGUGAUGCAGAGAGGAAGAAGUGUAUGUAAUUAACAAAUCCCCAAAACAAACACCACGUCGCUAUAACUCCAUGUUGUAUUACCUUCUACAGGCUAAUUUACAAGGCAAAUGGAAACAUUGGAGCUUUAAAUAACCUUUAAUAUUACCGGUACUAAUUCAACAUCAUGAUGUCUAUAUUACUAAAUUUUACAUCUUAAAUCCUAGAAGAAACAUAAAUAACAAUAUGUUGCCACAUCCUCAAAUAGGGGCAGUUUAUUAUAAGCAAAUGGGUCCCAGAACAGACCCCUGUGGGAUGCCAAAUUUUGAGAUCAACUUGUGAAUGAUUCUUAAAGAAUGAAAAUCAUACAAUCCAUAUCAGUUUGAUUAAUUUCUUACUUUAGCUGGUAGAGAUUUCUCUACAUCUUUCUUUACUCGUCUCAACAAGUAGGGUUCAAGUUCUUUGUGAAGACCAGAAAAACCUUUGUCUUUUUGUUCUUGUGUAGAAUGGGUAUUUUCAAACUCUUCCCACCUGGCAAACCUAUACAAUCGAAAAAUGCUUUGUCAUUGCGUAUAUAAUACACAGAAAUUUGAUAAAGGUCUUGGUUGCAUAAACCUAGUUGGCAAGGAUCACAGAGCUGUUUAACCAUUGGGAGUCCUACAUCUCAGGUCGUAAGUUUGUGAAUCCACCCUUGGUACAACCAGGUCUAGAUGAGCAAAGAUGUUCCACUGGAAGAGUGAAUAUUGUUGACCACUGUAUCUACCUUAUUGAGUCUACCCCUUAACUGAAUAAGAAGCACCCAACACGGUACAUACUUGUCUGGCAUGAGGAAGUGCAGAAGUGCCCAUAACUCCUUCAAAGAGUUCUGUAAUGGUGUACCAGUAACAAGAAGUCUAUGGUUGGUAUGGAAUUCCUGAAGGACUUUGUACAGUAAGGAAUCAUCAUUCUUUAAGCGAUGAGCUUCAUCAACAACAAGACCAGCCCAGUUGAAUGUACUUAGAAUGUGCUUUUGAUAAAAAAAAGGUGAUUAAAAAACAACUGUAACAACU